CCAAGGAGUCUAACAUGUGCGCGAGUCACUCGGUCUUGAUUAGGCCAGAGAGGCGCAAUGAAAGUAAAGCUUGUUAAGUUACGAUCUCCAUGCCAGUUAUCCUUGAGUGGGUAACGGUGGAGCGCAGUAACAGCCCGCUAAUUCCGCUUAUUGACGGUCUAGCGGAGUUAUAGCGUACACGUUGGUACCCGAAAGAUGGUGAACUAUGCCUGGGCAAGACGAAGCCAGAGGAAACUCUGGUGGAGGUCUGUAGCGAUUCUGACGUGCAAAUCGAUCGUCAGACCUGGGUAUAGGGGCGAAAGACUAAUCGAACCAUC
rnacentral:rRNA from 1 species